rnacentral:rRNA from 1 species
UACAGAGGUCCCAAGCGUUGUUCGGAUUCACUGGGCGUAAAGGGUGCGCAGGCGGUUUUGUAAGUUUGUCGUGAAAUCCCCGGGCUCAACCUGGGAAUGGCGAUGAAGACUGCAAGGCUAGAAUCUGGCAGAGGGGGGUAGAAUUCCACGUGUAGCAGUGAAAUGCGUAGAGAUGUGGAGGAACACCGAUGGCGAAGGGCAGCCCCCCUGGGUCAAGAUUGAC